UUUCAAAAAUUUCCAUAUUUAGAAGGUGUGAGUUUAUAAUAGUCAAAGCGGUCCAAGAAGGUAGUCAAUUAAGCAGUGUUGUCCCGAAUACAAAUUCUAUUUUUUGAAAAUUCAUUCUUGACGAUCCAACCGUACGGAUGUUAAUAUCUAUCAAAUUUAGUAAUAAGAAUUUUUUUUCAAAAAUUUCCAUUUUUAGAAGGUGUGAGUUUAUAAUAGUAAAAGCGGUCCAAGAAGGUAGUCUAAUUAAGCAGUGUUGUCCUGAAUACGA
rnacentral:lncRNA from 1 species